UACGUAGGGACCAAGCGUUGUUCGGAUUUACUGGGCGUAAAGGGCGCGUAGGCGGCGUGACAAGUCACUUGUGAAAUCUCUGGGCUUAACCCAGAACGGCCAAGUGAAACUGUUGUGCUAGAGUGCAGAAGGGGCAAUCGGAAUUCUCGGUGUAGCGGUGAAAUGCGUAGAUAUCGAGAGGAACACCAGAGGUGAAGACGGGUUGCUGGGCUGACACUGACGCUGAAACGCGAAAGCUAGGGGAGCGAACGGG
rnacentral:rRNA from 1 species